rnacentral:rRNA from 1 species
AACGCUAGCUACAGGCUUAACACAUGCAAGUCGAGGGGCAGCAUGAACUUAGCUUGCUAAGUUUGAUGGCGACCGGCGCACGGGUGAGUAACGCGUAUCCAACCUUCCGUACACUCAGGAAUAGCCUUUCGAAAGAAAGAUUAAUACCUGAUGGUAUGAUGAGAUUGCAUGAAAUCAUCAUUAAAGAUUCAUCGGUGUACGAUGGGGAUGCGUUCCAUUAGAUAGUAGGCGGGGUAACGGCCCACCUAGUCGACGAUGGAUAGGGGUUCUGAGAGGAAGGUCCCCCACAUUGGAACUGAGACACGGUCCAAACUCCUACGGGAGGCAGCAGUGAGGAAUAUUGGUCAAUGGGCGCGAGCCUGAACCAGCCAAGUAGCGCGAAGGAUGAAGGUCCUACGGAUUGUAAACUUCUUUUAUAAGGGAAUAAAGUCACCUACGUGUAGGUGUUUGUAUGUACCUUAUGAAUAAGCAUCGGCUAACUCCGUGCCAGCAGCCGCGGUAAUACGGAGGAUGCGAGCGUUAUCCGGAUUUAUUGGGUUUAAAGGGAGCGUAGACGGGUCGUUAAGUCAGCUGUGAAAGUUUGAGGCUCAACCUUAAAAUUGCAGUUGAUACUGGCGUCCUUGAGUACGGUUGAGGCAGGCGGAAUUCGUGGUGUAGCGGUGAAAUGCUUAGAUAUCACGAAGAACUCCGAUUG